GAUGAACGCUGGCGGCGUUCCUAAUACAUGCAAGUCGAGCGAACAGACGAGGAGCUUGCUCCUCUGACGUUAGCGGCGGACGGGUGAGUAACACGUGGAUAACCUACCUAUAAGACUGGGAUAACUUCGGGAAACCGGAGCUAAUACCGGAUAAUAUAUUGAACCGCAUGGUUCAAUAGUGAAAGACGGUUUUGCUGUCACUUAUAGAUGGAUCCGCGCCGCAUUAGCUAGUUGGUAAGGUAACGGCUUACCAAGGCAACGAUGCGUAGCCGACCUGAGAGGGGGAUGGGCCACACUGGAACUGAAACCCGGCCCAGAUCCCCACGGGGGGCAGGAGUGGGGAAUUUUCCCCAAGGGGGGAAAGCUUGCCGGAGAAACGCCGGGGGGGUGAGGAAGGUUUUCGGAUCGAAAAACUCUGUUAUUAGGGAAAAAAAAAUGUGUAAGUAACAAAGCCCGUUUUGACGGUACCAAACCAAAAAGCCACGGCUAACUACGU
rnacentral:rRNA from 1 species